GGAGCCCAUAGGAACCCUGUAUUAGUUACUUUUCUGGUGCUGUAAUAAAACACCAUAACCAAGGAGACUCACAGAAGAGUUUGUUUAGGCUUAUGGUUCCAGUGGGGUGAGUCCGUGAUGCAGAGCAGAGGCAUGGAAGCCGGAACUGAAAGCCAAGGGCUCACGUACUUAACAGUAAGCACAAGCCGAGCAACCAGGAGUGGGGAGAGGCCUUGAGCUCUCAAAGCCCCCCACACACACAGUGACAGUGACACUUCUGUCAGUAAGGCCACAUCUCCUAAGCCUCUCAAAGAGCUUCCAAAUGGGGACGAGUGUUCAAGUGUCUGAGACUAUGGGGACAUCUCGUCCAAACCACCACAGGCUCCACCAUGCUGUCAAGAUGUUGUAAAACCUAGAACAUAAAAGAGAGAAGGAGCACAGAAAACGUUUAAAGUUCCCCCAGAGAAGAAUGUGUGCAUCCAAGAAAGCAAGACACGUUUGGAGACACAGACUUACGAGGGCCAACAACACAAAGUCUUGAACAUAGCAAGUGGGAGAUGACUUAUUAGACAAGGGACUCCCGAGAUUAUCACUGAUCUCUUAUUGGAAGCCUUGGAAGAUAGAAGACACACAUUAUUCAAAAUGCGAAAGAGACUGGAGAGAUGGCUCAGUGGUCAGGACCCGCGUGAGGCGUCUCAUGACUGCCUGUAACUUCAGUUCUAAGGGGAUCUGAUGCCUUCUGGCCUCCAUGUGUACUUCAUGUACACGGUGCACAUACACAUAAAUAAAUUUAAAAAUUAAUGCAAAGGAAAACUUGUCAACAGAGUUCUUUAUCAGGCAAACCUAUCUUCCUAAAAUACGGAUGAGGUUGAGGUAUUCCCAAUAAGUAUAAGCUAAAAGGAUUCAUUUACCAUUAUACUAGCCUUGUAGAUAAAGCAAAACGAGAGCCAAUGAGACAGUUCAGCAGGUGGAGACACCUGCUGCAAAUCCUGAGGUCCUAACCAGAUCCCUACACCCACACAGUGGAAGGAGAGGCAAAGGAUGAGUUGUCUCCAAAUCUUCACAUAUGCACACACACAAAUACAUGUAGUAAAAAAUGGUAAGCAGCUUAAGAUUUUUAAAGGAAGAAAUGGAAAAGAAAGUCUCUCAGGUUGAAAUGAAAGGAUUCCAGACGGUAACAAAACCAAAUGAAGAAAUAUAGACCUCCAGUAAAGGUAAUUACAUGGGCUGUUAAAAGGCUAAAUUUAUUAUAAUUUUGAUUUGCAACUCUGAUUUUCCUAUAUGUUUUGAAAGACACAAUCUGUUACUGGUCUUACAGUGUAUGAGCAAAUAAUCUGUGACAGAUUCAGGUUGUAUUGUUAUGACUUUGGGAUAAUAAAUGUAAUUCCUGUGGAAACCAGAUAAAUUAGAAUAUACAUAAGAGGGAAUGAUAAGGUAAUCAAAACCUCACUACAAAAAUAUUGGAGGAAGUGAUAAAGACAGACCAUUUUGUGAAGAUACAGAAUUAGGAUUUUUGUUUAUUUUUUUUAGGCCAAAGGCCAGUCAAACUCAGUCCUCCUUCCUCGGUCUCCUAAUAGGAUUACAAGUAUGCAAUACCAUGUCCACUAAAAUGAGUCCUUUUUUUGGUAAAGAUUUAUUUAUUUUUGUGUUUUACCUACAUGUCUGUAUGUCUGUGUACCACUUGCAUGCCUGGUAUCCACAGAGACCAGAAGAGGGCAUCAGAUAUCCUGAGAGUGGCAUUACAGUUUUGAACAGCCUUGUGGGUGCUGGGAAUUGAACCUAGGUCCUCUGGAAAAGCAGGCAUUGCUCUUAACCACUGAACCAUCUCUCCAGCAUAAAAUGAGUCUUAACAGAUUCAAAAGAUAUGUGUGCAAAGCAUCUUCUCCAAUCACAAUGAUAUAGAAAUGAGCAACAUAAGGAAAACUGGAAAUUUCACAAAAAUGUGGCAACACCCAUGGUACUAAACAGUCAGAAGCAGAGAUGAAUGAAAAAUAGGAAAUGCAAUAAUAGCAGUGCUGAGGAAAUGUAUAGCCAUUCUACAUUAAAAAGAAAGCCAGGUGUGAUGGCUCAUGCCUAUAAUCUCAAUUUAGGAGUCUGAGACAGGAGAAUUGUGUGCGCGCGCGCACGCGCACACACACACACACACACACACACAAUAGUGAGGGGCUGAAGCAGAAGGAUUGCAAGUUCAAGGACUGUCUGGGCUAUGGAGGGGGUUCAGGACCAGCCCUGGGGAACUUAGUGAAACCAUGUUUCAAAAAGUAGAAAGGGUGCUCAGUGGCAGUGCUUGCUUAGCUUGCCUAGGGCCCUGAGUUCUGGCCCCAAUGCUGGCAGUAGGGGUCUGUCUCAACUGACACAGAAAGUUUGUUCCUGCCAUGCUUAUCUCUGCACACACCCCUGCCAAGUGACCAAGUUAAGUUUGUCUCUCUGAUCCCUCUUUUCACAUCAUCUGCAUUGGGAAGAACUAUUGAGUGCCCCUCAGUCUGCCUCCUGGUAGCCUCUUCAUGCGGGCUUUCUACUGUGUGUUGAGGAGCCGAAAUUUGAAGGCAUAUCAACAAGUUAUCAGUUAGAGCCCUGCUCAAGCAGCUGUCUGCUAUUGACAUUCCUGCAGUGGGCAGGAGACAGUGAAUGUUGCCUGUGUAUCCUGGCCAGUUUUUAUGUCAACUUGACAAAAGCUAGAGUCAUCUGAGAGGAGGAAACCUCAACUGAAAAAAAUGCCUCUAUAAAGUCAGACUGUAGGCAAGCUUGUAAUUAAUGAUUAGGGUGGGGGGACCCCUGGGCUGGUGGUCCUGGGUUCUAUAAGAAAGCAAGCUGAACAUGCUAGGAGGAACAAGCCAGAGGACAGCAGUGAUGAUGGCUUCUGCAUCAGCUCCUGCCUCCAGGUACCCACCUGCUUUGAGUCCUGCCUUGGUUUCCCUCAAUGGACUGUGAUUCAGGACGUGUGCACCGAAUAAACCCUUCCCCCACGCAAGUUGCUUUUGGUCAUGGUGUUUCAUCACAGCAAUAGUAACCCUAACUAAUAUACCAGGGUCACCAGAGAACAAGUCAGGUAGGGAUUGGUUUCAAAGGAGCAGGGAAUUCAUGAAUCCAGUCAAUGUUUCAACAGACCAGGGACAGAUGAAGUCAUAGGGACUCUGCCCACUGAGCACCGAUGGGUCCAGGGACCAGCAGACACUGUAGACAGCCUAGAGACAAAGGACUCAGCCUCUAGUGGCUGUGGAGCCCGUGCCCAAUCCUUCAUCCACCCUGCUGGAUACAUAGAGACUCUUAGCUCAGUAUCCAGUAUCCAAAAAGCCAGCUGGCUGGCCGGUGGCUGUGGGAACCCAGAGAUGUAUCCGCCAGUAUGAGACAGCUGUGUAAAGGUGUGUGUACUGUUGAUUCUUCACCAAGACCCCUUGAGUAAAUCCCACAUCCGUGAUGGUGGAGAGCAAUAUUUGACAUCUCAUUUGGCCAUUGCGAAGGUUGAUCCACUGCAGAGAAUAUCUGAGCCACAGGAAACUGGGAUCAUUGUGUCACGCCAGCCAGAACUCAGGAAGCAUGAAAACGCAUUUUCAACUUCUAAGUUCUUGCCACCUCUCAGGACACCAUUCUUUCUCCCUUGAUCCCAGUCACAAAGGGAAGUGUGGUUUCUGCUGUAAACAGCCACAUAAACUGGAAGCUGGAAAUGCAGGCAGGCCGGGCAACAGCUGCUACAUGAGGCUGGGUGGCUCCUGUGGCUACCGACAUGGCCUCGGUUAGGCAAGACUGAAGCUGGGCCGCGGUGUUAGUAACCACACAGCAGCCCCCAGAACGCUAAUUUCAGUCGGUGCCCUCUGACAAUGCACCCCAAUGAGCAGGGAGAGAAGGAAAUGUCAGGUUAUGUCCCAGGCCCACCUCCCGCCCACCCUCCAUCUGUGCCUGUGUCAAGGCUCACAGGAACAUAUGCUGCCUGUUGCUCACUGACCAUCUGUUCACAGGGCUGUGAAGUGUGCCCGUUACCUUGGAGAUGGGACCCUUGAUUGGCGCAACACCACAAACAUUUGCUGCUCAGUCUGGGAGCAAAGUUACAUAAACGCAUGGAGGCCAUUUGAAAAGGGAGCUGUGACCACCGGGACCACACUGUAGUGCUUCAUCACAGUGGGCAAAUGAGUUGGCACCCCUGUCAGAAGGAAAGACUGGACAGCUGUGGUCUAAUUGCCCAGCUUCCCACAUUGGGACUACAGCCUGGUCCAAGCUCUGCUUGGGGUCUCUGGGGCCUCUUCGUCACUGGCAAAGGAACAGUGUCUUCCAUAUGUUCUCGGGAGCCCGCAUCCCUGUAAGUUUCCAUUUGGGACAAAGUCAUAUCAGAAUGGCACCAUCCCCCUCACACUCUUGAAGCCCUUUCAAAAAUGCCCUGGCCAAUAUGCCUGUGGUGAUCACAACUAUUUUAAAAGCUUUUUUGUGGCAUUAGAAAGUGCCCAGACCUCAAUCAGGGCUUGGGCCCGAGUCUCAAAGGCCACCUUACCAGGCUAUCUGUCCCCAGUUUAGCAGGGGCCUGCCCUCUGUCCUGCCUCCUAGUCUUCCAAGGCCAGAGGACUCCUUCUGACCUUAGCACCAGCCUUCAUGUCCUCAGUACUCCCUCCUCCAUGGCCAAAUGUCUGUCCAGUGCCUUGCUAAGCCUGUGAGAACCUUGUUUUGUAAUAUGCCAAUCAACUUCCUUAAAGACUGUCCCUCAGUCAAUCAUUGCAACUUACCAUUGCAAGUUGAACCUAAAUACCAUCAUUUAAAUAAAAUUACAAUAUGAUCUUUAAACAACUUCCAAAAAACAAACAUGUUGGGCACAAAAUGGAUGUGAGAAGUAAGUCAAACUUGGAAUUUUUACCAACUCCUACUUUACACAUUAUCAUAACUGAGACUGAGACCAAUUCUUCAUCUCAUUUAUAAUUUAAUUCCCAUAGGUGUCCACAAAAGGCCCAUCUCCAAGGAUAAGAACUUCAGAGUCAUCCAUGGCUAUAUAGUAAGUUUGAAGCCAGCCUGGGUUGCAUGAGACCCUGUAUCUAAAAAAUAGAUAGAUAAAUGCCCGCUUCUAAGCUGUCAGUAUAAGGAAUGAGAAAUGUCAGUUUUCGUGUUGCUAUUUUCUCUGACUCCACCUCUGAUAUUCCUGACACAGACGAAAAGCCUCAAGUUUUCUUACUGAGCUAGCAUAGCAUUUCUACCUAAGAGUAAAAAGACAGCUUCUAAAACAGUACUUCUCAACCUGUGGGUUAUGACCCCUUUUGAAUUCAAGUGACCCUUUCACAGGAGUUGCCCAAGACCAUCCUACAUAUCAGAUAUUUACAGUUCAUAAAAGUAGCAAAAUUAUAGUUAUGAAGUCACAACAAAAAUAAUUUUAUGGUUGGGGUUCACCACAACCUGAGGAACAGAAUUAAAGGGUGGAAGCAGCGGCAAGGUUGAGAACUAUUCUAAAUGCUGAUGUCUCAAUAGCCAUGUAAAAUCCUGUAUAAGACCUUGGCAAACUGCAUCUCAUAGCUGAGAGCUAGGUGGCCUACGGGUAAAGAUGUGGUGAUAUGUUGUCAUAAAGGCUUGUAGAUUUACUAUUUAACAGAACAAACAAGAACAACAGCAUGAUCAUUUGGAGUUAGACACUGACAAACAGGUGAAAUUCAGGGUGCACCCAUUCUCUCUUUUAAUUACUAUUACUGCUGAUGAAGAGGAAGUACCGUGAGACCCCUGGUGUAUGCUGUCAUGUGAAGGAGACACUGGUGUGCGCUCAUUGUGGGGGAAAAAACAAGUCAUAGACAAAGAAAGUGCAAAGGAGAAAGGAGAAAAAGUGAAGGUUACUAUAGUGAGAAAUCCACAGAUUUCUGUUUAAUGGGCAAAGGAAUUUAUUAGGAGAAAAACUCACUGUCAAACAGAACAGUCUCAGGUUCUGGACCACUGUUCGGCGGCCUGAGCCAGUCCCGUAUGCAAAACCAUGAGGGAGAGAAGAGAGCAUCUAAGUGCAUCUCAGGUCUUAAGAGUCGCCAAGAGGCCAUGCCCAAGGUCAUAGACUGGUAGAGCAGUUAUCUCCUGCAUCUCUAGGGGCGGUGCUUCAAGGUCAUAGACAGAACAGCUAUCCACUACAGGUUAUUUGAAGAUUAUUUUAUUAUGUACCUGGAUAAUUCCAGCGAGGUAGCCAGACAAAACAUUAGAGAAUUGCCUAGGUAUAAAAUUAGAAUAGAAAAGUCUGUAGUCUUCUGGCUCUGGAAUGGAAGACCCAUUGAUCUUGAAAAAAAAAAAUAAGGCUCUGAGAAUAGGUCUGGGAAGUGUUGAAGACCCACCAGCCAGAAGUGUUUCUAAGGGACACAGAAAGAUGAGGAAUGUUCAACUUAUCCAUCUUUGUAAGGUCCUUUGGGAUAUCUAGUAUAAUCCCUGUUAAAGGACUUUGUUUUUUCUUAAGCAGUCAGACUAAACUAAGUCUCUGUGAAGAAAUGUCCAAGAAUAAAUAUGAAAACCCUAUUUUAAAAAAGAGGGAAACUAAUAGAGGAAUUCAUUCUAUCAGAUACUAACUUUUUCUGAAGUGCCAUUUAAAACUAUAUGCUACUUGCAAACGAGUAACCUGAAAAUACAGAAUUUUCAAAUUAUAUUAAAAAGGUAUUAAAAGUACUACAGGAUUUUCCUGUGAUGGUGUUGAGCUGAUAAUUUCCUAAAAAUAUGACAAAGCUUGUCUGAAUUCAAUUAAAAUUAAUUAUAGGCAGAUCAGAGAUUUAAGUAUUAAGGAUACAGUGGGGACAGGUAGCAACAAAGUGUACUAGAAAAGAACAUGGAAAGGCUGGAGAGAUGGUUCAGUGGUAAGAGCACUGGCUGCUCUUCCAAAGGACCCGGGGUUCAAUGCCCAGCACCCACAUGGGGGCUCACAACUGUCUGUAACUCCAAUUCCAGGGGAUCUGACACCCUCACACCAAUGUCCAUAAAAUAAAAAAUUAAAUAAAAUUUUUAAAGAAAAGAACAUGGGAGAAGUUUUUAUUAUGCAUAAACAUAGCAGUCUAAAUAUAAGACAGCCAGAAGCUACAAUAAUAACAAAUAUUAUUCCACAAAUUAAAAAUAUUUCUACCUAGGGCAAAAAAAGGAAAGGAAAAGAGUUCAACAGUUCAUAGAAGAUGAAGAACAAGACACUCCUCACCUGUGAAAAGACGCCUCACCGUCACACAAAGCCACUGUGUACCCCACAAAGGCUAGAUUCAAGCUGAUUCUCUCCUGCACUUCAUCCCUCCCCAAGGGAAGAAAAUUUGUCCACAUCCAUCAGAAUUAGAGAGACACACAGAAAUUUCCCAGAUGUUCUAUCUCUGUGAAUGGAUUCUGACAGAACCUUGAACAUGUGAGAAAGAAUGUUUGUGUGAGGUUGUUCGUGAAGACGUUGCUAUAAAGGUUUGGAAAUCAAAAUUCCCCCAAUAAUGGACCAGGCACCUGGAGUCACAUAUGCCAUUGUUAGCUGGGUAUCACUCCUGGUCCAUCCACCUACAGAUUUUACUGGUCAUCAGUCACUCCACCCUGCUGAGCAGAGAAGCCUCAGGCUCCCCAACCUGAUCACAAGCUCAGAUUCCGGCUCCCACGUUUAUUAUGAGGCUCUGAUCUGCUACUAUUCAGAGGAAAGCAGAGGAAUAAAUAAAAAGAGCAGUCUCCAGAACCAUCAACACUUGAGAACUCCGUAAGUGGCUCUAGCCCUGAGUCUUGGCGAUCUUACUCCUUUAAUGGAUCCCAGAGAAAGGAGGUGUUUGGGAGGAAUUUCAAUUUCUACUUCCAAGACACUCUGACAGGCCUGCCAAAUAGGAGUAUGAAGUCACAAUAAACACUGAAAGUUCUGAGACAUUCUGCAGGGGAGUCCAAAGCAAGCCUGCAGGAGUGAGAAGUUUCUGCAGCAAGCAGUGCAUUUUGAAGCAUCCCAAGAGCUCUUGCUCAUGCCGGUCCUCUCCUGGACAGAGCUCGAAGGUUUCCCUGCCCAACUCUUCCAAGAGCAGUCCCAGGGACCCACCUGAACUUCAAGCUCCUUUGUGAAUUCAAGGGUUUGAUAAAAUUAAACCAUUCACACUUGCCUGAGAAGAUGAGAUGCACCACCUCCUUCCUUCCCCUCUGCUUACAAAUGGCCCUGUGGACGAGAUCAAAAGCUAGCCCUGCUCUCACACGGUCUUAAGGAACUCACAGAUGCCCAGGUGUGGAGAGUUGUAUGGCUGAGACAGCCCGGAAAAGAGGUAAGGAAGGGAGAAGGGGUGGAUAGCCGCCAGCAGGUGGGUAAUAUGAGCUCCUUCCCACCUUAGAAGAUGCUUUGGGGAGGGCUAAUUUCCAGGAAUCCUGUAUUCCACACGCCCUGGUGGGGCGUGGGAGUCUUAGAGGUCCCACAGUGCUCCCCCACUUCGUCUUUUCCCAGCCACAGCCCUAGCAGAGCCUGCAGCUGGGGCUGGUAUGCAGAGCUUUCUUACCAGAGAAAGCAAGGACAAUAAGUCGAGAGGAGGAUGUAGUAGGAAGUCACAGUGUGAAAAGCCUAAUUCAGGGACUCGGGUGGAAAACAUGGAUUUCCUCAGACAACCAGUUUUCCUGAACUUUUCUCACUGAGUUGUAUUUGUUUAAAAAAAAAAAAGAAGAAGAAGCAAGCAGGGCAGCAGUUUGAGUAAGCAGCUGUGAGAUGAAAGUGUUUUCACUGAUUAAUCCCUGAAAUGGUCCAGAGGCCAGCAGCAGGUACCUGGCUCCCCAGGGUCUGUCACUGCUCUCUCUGACAACUUUUCUCACUGAGUAAAUGAUCUGAUUCAUGACAGACUGAAUCCUGUGGUUUAUUCACUGUCAUCAAAUAAUUUACCUGAAACUUCUCAAAUGAUGUAUUGCUAGUUAUUCCUACUAGUGUGGAAUACUAUUUUAAAGUAGUCAUUCCAAGUAACUCUGUCUUGUUCCAUCUACAGCUCUUUGGCUUGGUUGUGAAAACUUCUGCUUUCCCUUUUAAAUGAUUUUUCUCGUACAAGAAGCUUUCAGAUAACUCUCAAGUUACCAAGGCCUGGAGCCUACUUCCUAUGAGCAAUGCUAAUAGGCCAGGAGUCAGGCUCUCCGAUAGGCAGAUGGGGAGAGGGACCGUGACUACAUAAUAAAGACGACGGUGAACUUCCAAAAUGGCCAGCUGCGUCUUCACCCUCCUGACCUGAGACAAAGGCCUGUAGGGUCCCCUGCCUGUGAACCAGCCCAAGAUGAGUGUCUGGUAGAUGGGAAAGUGACCUCUCUUUCCAUAGGCCUACGGCAAGAAGGAACCAAGAGGACAUAAAAGCACCAUAAGCAGCUCAGAGAGAACUUCAGCCAAAUCAGACUGUGAUGACACCCUCAUUUAGACCUCCAGCCUCUGUGUCUGGGAGAGGACGAAUGAAUCCCUGUUGUGUCAGCUGUCCAGCUGUGGCGUCUUGCUAUGGCAGCUUCACUUUUCCAGUCUACUUACUAGAUGGAAAUCACACAUAAAAGGUCCCGAAGCUGCUGCCAGCUGAUCCUGAGUAACAACACAAAUCAGAACCUAUAGUGCCCCACAAUCCACCCAUUGGUUCCCUCUUGGAGCCAUAAACACAAGAAAGAAAGUUCAUAACACACAGCAAGGACUCACUGUAGUUGAUGUCUGAUGGCACACACUUAUGUACUUCAGUGGCUUCAUAUUAGUUUAGUGGUGUGCAGACUGACAUAGGAACUCUGAGCCCGGUAGAAUCCAUUUUGGUUUAACUCUCUCUGGUGGACCAGUUUAGAAAACAAUAAGACCGCUGGGCGGUGGCGGUGCACACCUUUAAUCCCAGCACUCGGAAAGCAAAGCCAGGUGGAUCUCUGUGAGUUCGAGGCCAGCCUGGUCUACAGAGCAAGAUCCA